rnacentral:rRNA from 1 species
AGUGAACGCUGGCGGUAGGCCUAACACAUGCAAGUCGAACGGCAGCACAGUAAGAGCUUGCUCUUACGGGUGGCGAGUGGCGGACGGGUGCGGAAUACAUCGGAAUCUACUUUUUCGUGGGGGCUAACGUAGGGAAACUUACGCUAAUACCGCAUAAGACCUACGGGUGAAAGCAGGGGAUCUUCGGACCUUGUGCGAUUGAAUGAGCCGAUGUCGGAUUAGCUAGUUGGCGGGGUAAAGGCCCACCAAGGCGACGAUCCGUACCUGGUCUGAGAGGAUGAUCAGCCACACGGGAACUGAGACACGGUCCAGACUCCUACGGGAGGCAGCAGUGGGGAAUAUUGGGCAAUGGGCGCAAGCCUGAUCCAGCCAUACCGCGUGGGUGAAGAAGGCCUUCGGGUUGUAAAGCCCUUUUGUUGGGAAAGAAAAGCAGCAGGUUAAUACCCCGCUGUUCUGACGGUACCCAAAGAAUAAGCACCGGCUAACUUCGUG